GAUGAACGCUGGCGGCGUGCCUAAUACAUGCAAGUCGAGCGAACGGACGAGAAGCUUGCUUUUCUGAUGUUAGCGGCGGACGGGUGAGUAACACGUGGAUAACCUACCUAUAAGACUGGGAUAACUUCGGGAAACCGGAGCUAAUACCGGAUAAUAUUUUGAACCGCAUGGUUCAAAAGUGUAAGACGGUCUUGCUGUCACUUAUAGAUGGAUCCGCGCUGCAUUAGCUAGUUGGUAAGGUAACGGCUUACCAAGGCAACGAUGCAUAGCCGACCUGAGAGAGUGAUCGGCCACACUGGAACUGAGACACGGUCCAGACUCCUACGGGAGGCAGCAGUAGGGAAUCUUCCGCAAUGGGCGAAAGCCUGACGGAGCAACGCCGCGUGGGUGAUGAAGGUCUUCGGAUCGUAAAACUCUGUUAUUAGGGAAGAACAUAUGUGUAAGUAACUGUGCACAUCUUGACGGUACCUAAUCAGAAAGCCACGGCUAACUACGUG
rnacentral:rRNA from 1 species